rnacentral:rRNA from 1 species
GACGAACGCUGGCGGCGUGCUUAACACAUGCAAGUCGUACGGUAAGGCCCUUUCGGGGGUACCCGAGUGGCGCACGGUGGAGUAACACUUAAGUAACCUGCCCACCACUUUGUGAUAACGCUAGGAAACUGGUGCUAAUACUGCUUAUACGCCCCUCCUCCUUGGUGGGGGUUGGAAAGCUCCGCCGGUUUUGGAUGGAUUCGCGUCCUAUUGGCGUAUUGGUGCGGUGGUGGCCUACCAGGGCAGCAACGGGUAGACGGCCUGCGGGGCUGACCGGCCAUCUUGGGACCGAGAGAAGGCACAGAUGGCUAAGGGAGGAAGUAGGGGGGAAUAUUGCACAAUGGGCGCCAGCCUGAUGAAGAAAGGCCGCGUGCGGGAAGACGGCCUUCGGGUUGUAAAACGGUUUCAGCAGGAAAGAAGCUUUUUGUGACGGUACCUAAAGAAGAAGCACCGGCUAACUACGUG